CUUAAUUGCGCUCUUUUUACAUAGAAGGUAAUUUUUUCAAAGAUGUCUGACGAAAACAUCCCACACGUGCAAGCAAAAUUUUUUACUAAACAGCCACAGUAUUCUGUACCGGACACACCCUAUUCCGUUCCAGCUUCUGUGGGGGCAACAGAACUCAGUGCACUCAUCUGUCAAGUUUUAAAAGCAGGUAGUGAUGAAUCUGCCGAGACAGCCAUUGAUUUUGAUUUUUUGCUGGAUGGAGAGUUUCUGCGACUGCCUUUGGACAAACACCUAGAAAAUAAAGGCAUUUCCUCCGAAGAUUUAGUAGAGAUAGAGUUUAUUGAGAGACAGCCAGCCCCUAAACCAGAAGAUUCACUUCUCCAUGACGACUGGGUCAGCUGUUUACAAGGCUGUCAGGAGUGCAUUCUGUCCGGUUGCUAUGACAACACAGUGAGAUUAUGGUCCACCACCGGAGUCCCUCUUCUGACAAUACCUGGUCAUUCUGCCCCGGUCAAGUGCGUCAGAUGGCUAAACGGAGAUGAUGGACCCAUCUGCAGGUUUAUAACUGGGUCACAUGACCAGACUAUUUUGAUAUGGGAGUGGCACAAACAGGAUAAUUCAGUGGAGUGCGUUCAUGCAUGUCGAGGUCACGGGGGAAGUGUGGACUGUAUUGCCAUCAAUGAUGAAAAAGACAAAUUUGUCAGCGGAUCUUGGGACAAAAUGUUAAAACUUUGGUCUGCAGCUUCAGUGGCUGAGGGGGACCAGCAAGACACAGCAGAGGCACCAUCAAAGAAACAGAAAAUCUCCAAAAAAGUCCAAACUAGGGUACCUAUUCUUACCCUCUCCGGUCACACAGAGGGAAUAUCUGCUGCAGAGUGGUUAGGUAGGUCAGAAGUUUGCACUGCAUCAUGGGAUCACACACUGCGACUGUGGGACAUGGAGAAAGCAACACAAACCUCACAAAUGCAAGGAACUAAAGUCUUUUUGGACAUGUCCUACUCCCACCUAAACAGGCAAAUCGUAACGGCCUCGGCAGACAGGCACCUCAGGCUUUGGGAUCCUAGAACCUCAGAUGGUGCAAUUGUGAAAUGUACGUACACAUCACACAAUGGUUGGGUAUCGAGUGUUAGCUGGUCCCCAGUAAACCAGUAUCUUUUCCUCUCAGGUUCUUAUGAUGCUGUCAUGAAACUUUGGGAUACAAGAAGACAAGGUCCAUUGAGGUCAGCACCUCUUGGAAGUCACACCCAAUCGGAACUCUGCUGGCAGAAAUAUGCAAAUCAAGAUCACACGUGUAUCAGCUCACUUUAUCAGCGACAGCUGUGAUACAAAUGCGAGGAGGCGGGUUCUUUAGCGAGCCACACCUAUUGUGACACGGGACAUCCCUUUUUUUGAGGUCAUCUCCGAGGACCCGUGACAUUCACACCUGAUGCCGAGCAUUUGGCAAUGGAACUGUCACUAGCUGUUUUAACGACUUAGGUUUGUCGCGGCCGGGAUUUGAACCCCGGCCUUCCGCAUGCGGGGCGAACGCUCUAACCUCUAGACCACCGCAGUGGUUUGGAUUCCCGGUUCAGCCGUAAUUUCCCCCUCUGUCCUGUUGCACUGGUCCAAAGGCUCCAUUGUACAACAUGAGUGGACACGAAGAAAAAAUCCUGUCAGUUGAUUGGUCGAUCCCAAGCCUGCUUUUAUCCGGAGCUGCUGACAAUCAUCUGAAGAUUUUCCAUUACAAA